rnacentral:misc_RNA from 1 species
AUUUUACAUCGCCUUCAUCGGAUCUCGUUGUCUUCCUUUUAUUAAUGGCUCUCUCAUUAGAAGACUUCCUUGUUCGUGCCCGAGUACUAAAGCUGUACCGACAUGCUCUGAGAAUCUCAAGGAGAGCACCUCCUCAUGCUAAAGCUGAUUUGAGGCAGAUUAUAAGACAAGAGAUGGAGAAUAAUAGGAAUUGCAAUGACAAGCAGAGAAUUCGGUUCUUGAUUAGUGAUGGAAUUGAAAGAGUGAAACGUUUAGAUGAGACGCUUGAUAUGCAAGGCCAUUGAUUUAACUGUAAUGUGUAUAUGGUAUGCCUUACAUCUUGCAACAUCAACCCUGUUGUGACCUAUCGGAUUAAUCAGAGACGUGCUGCAAACAUAGGUGGUUCAUGCGCUUUAGCCAUCUCUGCUUGGUUUAUACUGUUAUCGCCUCAGAAGUUAUUGUUUUUUUCCAACUUACCUCCAAUUAAGCCAGGAUCUUCACUGAUUCUCGUGUAAACAUGUGAUUUUGAAGAUCUCCCUUGAUCCUCUUGUAAAGAUACUGAGAUUGUACUGCUCCUAGUCUCCAACAGCUAGUAGAACUAGAAAACAAUUCUAAGAUAUGCAAGUCUCAAGGUUCAGAGCUAUUUAAAUUUCUUGUCUACAUAGUGUUUGUGGAG